CAAUAGCGUAUAUUAAAGUUGUUGCAGUUAAAAAGCUCGUAGUUGGACCUUGGGCCUGGACGGGCGGUCCGCCUCACGGCGUGUACUGUCUUGCCGGGCCUUUCCUCUUGGUGAUCUGUUGUUUCGGCAGCAGGGAACCAGGACCUUUACUGUGAAUAAAUUAGAGUGUUCAAAGCAGGCUUACGCCGUUGAAUAUGCUAGCAUGGAAUAAUAAGAUAGGACCUUGGUACUAUUUUGUUGGUUUGCGCACCGAGGUAAUGAUUAAUAGGGACAGUUGGGGGUAUUCGUAUUGCAUUGUCAGAGGUGAAAUUCUUGGAUUUUUGCAAGACGAACGACUGCGAAAGCAUUUACCAAGGAUGUUUUCAUUA
rnacentral:rRNA from 1 species